rnacentral:rRNA from 1 species
AAUAGAUACCCUGGUAGUCCACGCCGUAAACGAUGUCGACUUGGAGGUUGUUCCCUUGAGGAGUGGCUUCCGGAGCUAACGCGUUAAGUCGACCGCCUGGGGAGUACGGCCGCAAGGUUAAAACUCAAAUGAAUUGACGGGGGCCCGCACAAGCGGUGGAGCAUGUGGUUUAAUUCGAUGCAACGCGAAGAACCUUACCUACUCUUGACAUCCAGAGAACUUAGCAGAGAUGCUUUGGUGCCUUCGGGAACUCUGAGACAGGUGCUGCAUGGCUGUCGUCAGCUCGUGUUGUGAAAUGUUGGGUUAAGUCCCGCAACGAGCGCAACCCUUAUCCUUUGUUGCCAGCGGUUAGGCCGGGAACUCAAAGGAGACUGCCAGUGAUAAACUGGAGGAAGGUGGGGAUGACGUCAAGUCAUCAUGGCCCUUACGAGUAGGGCUACACACGUGCUACAAUGGCGCAUACAAAAGAGAAGCGACCUCGCGAGAGCAAGCGGACCUCAUAAAGUGCGUCGUAGUCCGGA